UGUGGCCACUUCUUUUGACUCACUAAUGGCUAAAAGAGGAAACUCUAUAGACAAUUUAGUGUGAUCAAAUAGGCUUUUUAAGUGAUAAGACUUCGCCGAAGAGUAUUUUUUCCCAUCUCGAAGCUUGACAAUCAAACUCAUACUUGUAUCUAAAAUAUCAUUUAGUCUAAAAACGAUUCCUUCGUUAAUUAUACUGACGUGUGUUUUAAUAAGAGGAAUCAGAGUCUCUUUCCUCUCUAUCUCAACUUCUCCACGCAUGAGACUCACAACAACAAUAGGUUUAAAUUUGAAACGAGAUUCAACUUUACCAACAUACAAACACAACACACCAGAAUUAGAAAUGCAUUUACACGCAUCAAGGGUCAGAGGUAUCCAACGAAAAAGCAACAAUAUUCUUCCUUCAUAAAUUUCGAGGAUUGUGAAGAACAUUAAUGUCAAUGGAUCUUCCCUGAUAAUAUUCUACUGGGAAUUCAAAUGUUUCAUUGAAAACAGGAUUGUUUGUCUUUGACAUUGACUGAGUUUCAUGACUACAACCUCCCAAAUAAACUUGAACAUAAGGAGAAGGAUUAUGAUUAUCAGCGCAUAAAGUGUUUCCACUAUCAUUCAUUUUCUUUCUAACUCGUUUACACUUGGAAAAGUCGAAACCAAUUGAACGUAAGCAUUCUGCCCUUUUUAUUUGGACACAUAUUAUUCCAUCAGGUCGAGGAAUAUUCACCUCAUUAUCC
rnacentral:lncRNA from 1 species